rnacentral:rRNA from 1 species
AGACCCGAAACCCGGUGAUCUAGCCAUGGGCAGGUUGAAGGUUGGGUAACACUAACUGGAGGACCGAACCGACUAAUGUUGAAAAAUUAGCGGAUGACCUGUGGCUGGGGGUGAAAGGCCAAUCAAACCGGGAGAUAGCUGGUUCUCCCCGAAAGCUAUUUAGGUAGCGCCUCGUGAAUUCAUCUCCGGGGGUAGAGCACUGUUUCGGCUAGGGGGCCAUCCCGGCUUACCAACCCGAUGCAAACUGCGAAUACCGGAGAAUGUUAUCACGGGAGACACACGGCGGGUGCUAACGUCCGUCGUGAAGAGGGAAACAACCCAGACCGCCAGCUAAGGUCCCAAAGUCAUGGUUAAGUGGGAAACGAUGUGGGAAGGCCCAGACAGCCAGGAUGUUGGCUUAGAAGCAGCCAUCAUUUAAAGAAAGCGUAAUAGCUCACUGGUCGAGUCGGCCUGCGCGGAAGAUGUAACGGGGCUAAACCAUGCACCGAAGCUGCGGCAGCGAACGUAUCACUUAAAGCGAUUCAGCGGGUUACGAUUGACGGAGCGAAGCGACGUCAAAGCGUAUACAAAGUCGAGUCGGUUUAAGGAUACGUUCGUUGGGUAGGGGAGCGUUCUGUAAGCCUGUGAAGGUGUGUCGUGAGGCAUGCUGGAGGUAUCAGAAGUGCGAAUGCUGACAUAAGUAACGAUAAAGCGGGUGAAAAGCCCGCUCGCCGGAAGACCAAGGGUUCCUGUCCAACGUUAAUCGGGGCAGGGUGAGUCGACCCCUAAGGCGAGGCCGAAAGGCGUAGUCGAUGGGAAACGGGUUAAUAUUCCCGUACUUGGUGUUACUGCGAAGGGGGGACGGAGAAGGCUAUGUUGGCCGGGCGACGGUUGUCCCGGUUUAAGCGUGUAGGUGUGUGUUCCAGGUAAAUCCGGUUCACUUUAACACUGAGGCGUGACGACGAGGCACUACGGUGCUGAAGCAACAAAUGCC